CAAGGUGUGCACUCCUGGUUUGUCCAAUCAGGGUCUCCCUCCUCUAAUUAGUUGGACAUCCCCAGAUUGACAUCAGCCUGCAGUCUGCGACCUAAGGGAAUAGCAAACAAAAGGAGAGGGAAAGAAAACAUGCAGCCUGCAGACACGUAACAAGGGCAAAGAAAACCAGUCCUCCACCCAAAGUAAUAGCUGUAGCUGUUGUGAGAAUGGAAAAAGGACAGACUUACCUGCAAUGAUGCCUCAUCUUAAGCACAUGCCAUCAUGAGCCUUUCUCAGCAAUGAGAGAGCUGUAAAUACAAGAAAAGGCUGUGUCUCCAGGUUCAUGACGAAAUCCCGGGAGCAUCAUCUGGGCUCUCUCUUGUUGUGCGUCACGUAUCCGGGGUCUACCUGGCAAAGUUCUUCAGCGUUUCCCAUGUUGAUUCUGUGGAUCGAGUCUCUUCUGCUGUGAAGCUCAGGACCUUCAUCUUCUUCAGGGCCUCGGUAGCCACCGCUGCACUGUUAUAAGUUAUGAUGCUGUCUCUGAGGAAGACACAGUUUCGCUGGUGGAAGCAAAUUUCUUUUUCUUUAAGCCAUAAGAAAGUAAAUUCCCACUCCAUUCAGAGGAACCUCAUUCCCUUUCUUUUUCCUGGCAUUCUGCGGUGAGUUCGGGCCUAGAGCUCUGUGACAUCUUUGUAUUCCCAGCUCAGUAUCACUUAGGGACAACUCUGAUUUAACAAAAGUUUCUAAAAACACUGAAGGGUAAGUUCUUCCCUUCAGUGUCUUCAGGCAUUCUGUAUACACAAAUAUUAUUUCUUUGUGACUGGAAGUGAGUAAAAGGAUGAGUUGCCUUAAUAUUUAGUUUAAAUGCAUAUUAAGGUUUUAAAAAUGUAAAUGCAAGAAAGUGAAAAUAACUGUAUGCUUGUAUGUAAAGUUUAAUCCAUAUCUGUGUCACACUGUUAAUUGUUACCAUACCCAUGGUUUGCAAGGUUUUAAGGAUGCUUAGGUAUUGCAUUUUUCUUAAUAGAAAAGCAUUUCUUUCUUCACCAUUUUAUUAGAUUUUAACAGACACAGCUUUGAAACAUGAAGGCAUUGAUUAUAGAAAUUGCUGGGCACCAUGUGGAUGUUGUGGGUAAAAGUUCUGUAAAGAUCUACUGAGAUAACUGUACCUGCACAGUUGCAGCCCAUUGUGACACACGAUGCCAUGGUAUGAUUUCAGAUGAAACAGCCUCAGUUACCAUGAAGUCCCCCUGCAGUCACUCUCAAAGACAAGAUUGAUAAAAAGCAAUUAUUUACCCCCAACCAGCUUUAUCUUUUUCAGUAUUUUCCAUUUUUCAUGUUUAACUGUUUCUGUUAGAACUUGUCAAUGAACAUUUCUAUUCUUCCUUUUUUCCUUUUUAGGUUCUGACUUUACAUCCUAAAUAUCAUUGUGCCCUUGUCUUCUUUCAUUGCUGUUUUUAUCCCCCCGCCCCUUUAAAAAACUGCUCACUAGCCUGAUCUGUGUUAGACUGUUGUAUUAUUUAAUUAACAAAAAGUGAGUACCAUUGCAAAAUCUCAAAAAAGAAAAAACUAAUUCAUCACUUCAGCACUGUAGUAAGGAUGUUUUUCUUUUUUGAUUAAUGUGCUAUAGAGCUAGAGAAGACCGCAGUUUUGGGAAGGUGUCACUGACCCUUUUCAUAUUGCUUUUAUUUUGUUAAUUACACUCAUAGUGAUGACAGAACAUUUCCUGUUUCUACAGUAAAAGUCUGCUGAGCUAAGGGCAAGACAAAAUGUUUUGGAACUUGACUGUAACAUUGUAUAGACAUACAAGCAAAUGCAAUUUGUCAUGGUCCUGGGUUUUGUAAUCUAGCCUUCUCUGUAUCACUCUGCAGCUUGUUAAGUCUGUAUCUCUGUUACUGAUU